GGAAAAAUCACUCGGGAACAGAGCCAUAGCCCUGCUUCUAGCGCCAUCUUCCUUGAGACUCCUGAGCCAUAAGAGCGAAGUGGCAGAAGAAGAUAAUGUGCAGGCUGAAGCGCAAGAGAAGAUAAGGCAGUGGUCCAAGUUAGCCAGCCGGUGCAGCCACGACGCCUGCAGGAGCAGAAGUGAGGGAUGCUGAGGGCCGGGACGCCGGGACAAGCUAUCGGACUGUGUGCUGCCAUUGGUAAUGAGUCUCAGUAGAACUGGAAUGUCACCUCGCCACGAUCGCCUGGAGAAAUGACCUCCUUUCUUAUAACCAAAACAGUCCCGCUGGCCCUCUGCCCUGGACCCCCGGCACUCUGGACUAGCUCUGUUCUCUUGUGGCUAAGUGUAGCUCGUGUACAAUAAACCCUCUUGCAGUCAGCUGAAAAAAAAAAAAGGAAAAGAAAAAGAAAAACAACAACAACAACAAUAGCGACAGCAGCAGCAGCAGCAGCAAUCAGAACAACAGCAACAGAGCAGAGAAUCAGUAAAGCCACAAUCUUGACGUUAACCAGAGAGCUCACUGAAGAAUUAAGAGCCCUGGACAGGAGGUCAAGUCCACAGAGAAGACACAGUUUUUUUAUUUUCCUAAGACAGGGUUUCUCUGUGUAGCCCUGGCUGCUCUGGAACUCUCUUUGUAGACCAGGCUGGCCUCGAACUCAGAAAUCUGUCUGCCUCUGCCUCCCAAGUGCUGGGAUUAAAGGCGUGCGCCACCACGCCGGGCCUUAUUUUGGUUUUUUCAAGACAGGGUUUCUCUGUGUAAUCUUGGCUGUCCUGGAGCUCACUCUGUAGACCAGGCCGGCCUCAAACUCAGAGAUCUGCCUGUCUCUGCCUCCCAAGUGCUGGGAUUAAAGGUGUGUGCUAGCAUGCCUAUCGACAAAUUUUAUUUGUAAAAAAAUAUACAAAAUGCAAUUGUUGGUGUACAACAAAUGGUUUGCUUGCACCUAUGUCUGUACACAGUAUAUGUGCUGUGCCUGGGAGACCAGAAGAUCUACUGCAACUGCAGUUCCAUGUGGAUGUAAGCUGGCAUGUGAUGCUGAGACUAGAACAUAGGUCCCCUGGAGGAGAAGCCAAUGCUCUUAACCCCCAAGUCAUAUCUCCAAUUCCUAACAUAAUAAAACAGCAGCAACAGCAGCAGCAACAACAACAACAAACUUUACUUUUUUUUCCCUGUUUGUUGAAAUGGAUUGAAUGCAGCCUAGUCUGGCCUUGAAUUCACUAAGUAGCCGAGGCUGGCAGUGAACUUCUUCUUCUUCUUCUUCUUCUUCUUCUUCUUCUUCUUCUUCUUCUUCUUCUUCUUCUUCUUCUUCUUCUUCUUCUUCUUUUUUCAAAGAUUUAUUUAUUGUUAUAUGUAGGUACACUGUAGCUGUCUUCAGACACACCAGAAGAGGACAUCAGAUCUCAUUGUGGGUGGUUGUGAGCCACCAUAUAGUUGCUGGGAUCUGAACUCAGGACCUUUGGAAGAGCAGUCAGUGCUCUUACCCCCUGAGCCAUCUCACCAGCCCCAGCAGUGAACGUCUUACUCUCCCGCUUCCACCUCUCUGGUGCUGAAAUUACUGUGUGAUACAAUUUCUAUAUUUGGGUAUGCUUCAACUAGCUUUACACAUUCCCAAGAUAGCCAUAGGUCACUCAUUUGUGUGACAUGGAUUUGUGUCUCUCCAGGAUACUGUGAAAAGGAAAGGAAACAAAGCCAAGCUUGGUGACAUACACUGGUAAUACUAGCUCUGGGAUGGCAGAGAGGCAGGAGGAUCAGUAAAAGCUAAAGGCUAGCCUGGGCUACAUAGUGAGACCCUUUAUCAAAAGAGAAAAAAUGUAUAUAUAAUUAUAUAAUGUAUAAUAUUAUACAUAUUUAUAUAUACUGAGACAGGGUUCCUCCAUGUAGUCCUGGCUGUCCUGGAAUGUAGACCAGGCUGGCCUCAAACUCACAGAGAUCCGACUAUGUCUGCCUCUCAAGUGCUGGAAUUAAAUGCAUGCUGUAUAUCACCACCACCCAGUAAUAAAAAAAAAAAUAGUUUAACUCCUGUAAGUAAUAGCUUCUAAAACUUUUAUUGUUUUUUUUUAAGAUAUUCUGUUGCAGUAAAAUACCUGUGGUUGACCUGCCAUUUUUAAGUGAGCAAUGCCGAGCACCCUCUUGAAUAACUUCAGCCUUUCUUAACUAGGACAGAGAUUCCAGCUGUUGACAAGGGCAGAGAAAGGCCAACAUAGAACUUAACUGCUCUACUACCGCCCUUUUUCAAUAUAGUCCACGGAAGCAUUUUGCUCUGAAUUUGAAGCUAGGCCAUUGACCAGGCAUUGUGGCCUAUGCCUGUAAAUCCAGCAUUCAGGAGCUUGAGGCAGGUGGAUACAAAUUUUGAGGCCAGCCUGAGCUACAGUCACCCUGCCUCAAAAAAAGAGGGGGAAAAAAGCAAGCUAGACCAUGAAAACACAGACCAGUUGUAUUGAUGUAUGUGCUAGUGAACAAAUGUGGAUUAAAGAGAGAAAGGAAAGGAAAGGCUGGAUAUGAGGGCACACAUUGGUAAGGCCAGCAACUGGGCAAGUGGGGGCAGGAGGAUCAAGAACUAAAGGCUAGGCCUGGUUAUGUAGUGAAUUAGAACUUAAGGGCAGCCUGGCCUAUGUGAAACCUAUUCUGAAACAAAGAAACAAAACCCACCAUCACCACCACCACCAAAGAACAGAGGGUUGGUGUUGUUGGAGGGACGGAUCCACAGGUCAAAGCAUUUGGAGGUGCUCCGGAUUCAGCCCCCACAUGAUGGUUCACAGCCAUCUGUGACUUAAGUUCCAUGAGAUCCAAUGCCCUCCACAGACUCAGACACGGACAUCCACACACGUAAAAUAAUUUAAUAAUAAACAACAACAAUGGGCUGGUGAGAUGGCUCAGUGGGUAAGAGCACCCGACUGCUCUUCCAAAGGUCUGGAGUUCAAAUCCCAGCAACCACAUGGUGGCUCACAACCAUCCGUAAGGAGAUCUGACUCCCUCUUCUGGAGUGUCUGAAGACAGCUACAGUGUACUUACAUAUAAUAAAUAAAUAAAUCUUUAAAAAAAAAAAAAAAAAACAACAACAAUAAAGGGCCUUAAUCUCAGCACUCUGGGGGGCAGAGGCAGGCAGAUCUCUGUGGGUCCCAGGCCAGCCUGGUCUAUAAAGUGAGUUCCAGCUAGGGUUACAAAGUGAGAGCUCUGUCUCAAAACAAAAACAAAGAAACAAAAAAAUUAAAAAAAAAACAAAAACAAAAAAAACCAAAAAACAAAAGGAAGACGAAUGGUAAAAGGAAAGACAGAGUGGAAGCAAACAAAUACAUGUAAUAAAAGGCUUGUGGAUAUUAUUACACUACAUGGAAUGCUCAAUAAUGAUACGCCACGUGGUCAACAUGUCACCUUCCAGGAAUGCUUAGCUCGCUCAACCAAUGUCAGUGCAUGAACUGCUAACACGGCGUUUAUCCGGCUUUGAAAAUCAGCUUGCCAGGCUCUCUCUCAGGUUGUUCACGUUUGCUUUAGAAUGAAUCUAUAGAGCCCAUAAAAAUGAUCACCUGCCAAGUCCUUAAAAAGGCAACUGGAUCCAUGAAGCUCUCUG
rnacentral:lncRNA from 1 species